CUAAAUUUAACGAUAUCUUGCUCGGUUCUUAUAUUUUGAAAAUAUUAAAUCUCUAAUAUGUCUUUCUCCAAAAUCUAACAGAAACAGAAAGGUACCAUGAUACGCGCUGUUCGCCACAAUACUUGAAUAUUUAAGAUCUACUCGUACUAUUUUGAAUGAUUUAAAAUGACGCUGCGGCCUGACAGACGGGAAGCCGGAAUAUGCGGUCGCAAGAAAGUACGGUGUGACAAUACUAUCAACGCCAAAGGUCCCUCCACAAGGUAUACCGUGUGCUGUGUACAUAGCGUGGCCAUAUAAAUUUGCCUACCGGCCCAUUUACACCGUCGAAACACGAUACGAGUCCGGGC